GACGAACGCUGGCGGCGUGCCUAAUACAUGCAAGUUGAGCGCUGAAGGUUGGUACUUGUACCAACUGGAUGAGCAGCGAACGGGUGAGUAACGCGUGGGGAAUCUGCCUUUGAGCGGGGGACAACAUUUGGAAACGAAUGCUAAUACCGCAUAAAAACUUUAAACACAAGUUUUAAGUUUGAAAGAUGCAAUUGCAUCACUCAAAGAUGAUCCCGCGUUGUAUUAGCUAGUUGGUGAGGUAAAGGCUCACCAAGGCGAUGAUACAUAGCCGACCUGAGAGGGUGAUCGGCCGCAUUGGGACUGAGACACGGCCCACACACCUACGGGAGGCAGCAGUAGGGAAUCUUCGGCGAUGGACGAGAGUCUGACCGGGCAACGCCGCGUGAGUGAAGAAGGUUUUCGGAUCGUAAAACUCUGUUGGUAGAGAAGAACGUUGGUGAGAGUGGAAAGCUCAUCAAGUGACGGUAACUACCCAGAAAGCGACGGCUAACUACGUG
rnacentral:rRNA from 1 species